GAUUGCUUGUGAAAGCUCAUAAGGCAUGCAAUGGGACCCUGGCUCUUACCUUUGUGACAGGAAAGCCGCCUGCCUUAGGCUGUGAGCCAUGCUAUGAAACGUACUAACAGCCGCAGAAAGAACCUAGCCUGUCUGCUUCUCAUAUGCCUGGGCCCCGUUCCACUGGCUCCCAGAUGGCCGUGACCUCGAUACGGUGUGUGAGCCAGUGGCUGGCCUGACCCCCUAAUGGUGACCGCCCGCCUCGCCAGGAUGACCUACAUUUCCACAGUGGCGGCUGGAGCAGACAUUCCAGGGCUUCUUAGCUAUGAAGGUCAUGGAAGCUCAAGGCUGCUGGAGACCACCCCUGCUGUCACUUAGAACUCAUCCUGCCUGAUCAUGAAGCCAACUAGCAAAAAGGAGAGCCAAGAGAUGUCAGGAGGAAAAUAAGUCCUACUGUUGUGCAGUAAGGCCCUAGUCAACCAAGGAACAUCACUGUGUGUCACGUGUCCACCUUCCUUUCCCUUGCCUCGCAUGCCCUGCCUCAUCCAGGCACAGCCUGGAAGGUAGAGGUGAGUGACAAGCACGCAGGAAGCUUUAUGGAACAUCCAACACCUCAAGACUCAGCUCAGACACCACCUCCUCCAGGAAGCCUCGCCUGGUGCCCUAGUGUGCCUUCUCAGGCUGGUUCAUAGCCCAUCUCUGCUGGUCCACAGCCUUUAUUGAGGGCAGCACCAUGCAUAAGGGCUAGACUCUGGAACCCAGAUGUCCCUGAUUGGAAUGUCAGCUCUUGCCAGCUGUGUGACCUUGAACGUACGAGUAACCUAUCCGUUCCUUGGUUUCAUCACCUAUAAAAUUAACAUCAGUCUCUCUACCUAGUCCUACUUUGUUGUGAGAUUUGUCACUGAGUUAGAACAGAGGCCAGCACAUGGCUACUCCUCAGGUAUGAAUUGUAUUGGCCAUCAUUUUUAUGUUCUGUAUCACUUUUGCCAUAACUGCCUUUUACUUGCUUGUCUUAAACCACAAGCCCUUUCCCUUCUCUUUUCUUUCAAUACCUUUGGUUCUCCAGACCCCACAGUGCCUGGCAUGUAAUGAGCCUGAGAGAAUGUCGGUUGAAUAAUGUGUGCCCCCAAAAAUGAACAGGCAAAUCUAUAUCUUCUGCUCUUCCUUCUACCUGUCAAGAACUCUGACUUUGCCAUCUCGUUUCUGGCUCUCAUCCUAAAAAUAGGAUAAUGAGCAAGCGGGAGGUGGAGAGAAGUAGAAGUGAAAGGGAAUGAAGACAAACACAAGGGUUGGGGGGUCAGGAGAACAGAUGGGCUGGGCGGGUCAUGGAGGUGCUCACACCUGACUGGGCACUGGAAUCACCUGGGUGCAAGGGUUCCCAAACAAGCACCCUGAGCCCUACCCUGGAGACUCCCACCUCAUCUGUCUGGGUGGGGCCUGGAACUUCCCAGGUGAUCCUGUGCUAUGAGGCCAGGGCUGAGAACCCUGGGACGGAGAAUGGGAGGAGCUUUGAUGCACAUGAGAAGAGAAAUGAAAGCUCCUUGAGUGUUUUUGAGAGAUUUCAGCAAAGAUUAGUUCCUGUUCAACUAUUUUGACCCUCAGCUUGUUGUUUCUUUGACUGUGACCCAGUUCUGAGACUGGGUGCCAAGGGGACUUGGUUUUGUCUAAUACAAGUGUGUGAAUGAAUGAAUUAAUGAGAGGAGGUUUGUCUCCCAACACUCACACCAGUAAUCACAGACACAAGCAGCAAGGGAAGGUGGAAAAGAUGUUCCAACACAGGGGACUCAAGGGAAACAGAAACACCUCGUCCACCUCAUCAGCCUGUGUUCAAGGGAGAGAGAGGUGCUGGGGUUGAUGACUGUGGCCACUUCCCUGCCCUGAUCUUAAUUACAGGAGACCCACUGGCUCAGCAGUCUGUAAGUUGCAGGAAGAGAAAUUAGAUGUGAUAUCCAAAUCUUUUUUUUUUUUUUCUUUUUUGAGGCAGGGUCUUAUUCUAUUGCCAGGCUGGAGUGCAGUGGUACAGUCAUGAGUCACUGCGGCCUCAACCUCCUGGGCUCAAGCAAUUCUCCAUCUCGGCCUCCUGUGUAGCUGAGACCACAGGCAUGGACCACCAUGCCUGGCAAAUCAAAAAAAAAUAAAAAUUAUACAGAUAGAGUCUUCCUAUGUUGUCCAGGCUGGUCUUGAGCUCCUGGGCUUAAGGGAUCCUUCCACCUCAGCCUCCCAAAGUGCAGGGGUUACAGACAUGAGCCACUGUACCCAACCCCAAAUCUUGACUAGUAGCAUAUAGUCAGCUAGAUAGACAGACGGAUGGACCAUUGCUUGUGAACUUCUCUAGGGAGACCCUCUGAAGAAAGUGUCUGAGGGUCAAGCCAUCAUCAGAGCAGCUGAAGACAAGGCCCCACCCACAACGGGAUCGUGGGUUCAGCAAGGACCCUUCCCAAGGACCAGUCGGCGGGGCUGUGAGCUCCUGGGGGCAACAGGAAGAGGAUUUCAUGCAGGACUCACAGUGCCUGGAGCCUGUUCCACUUAAGAGAAAUUAAGCAGUCACGAGUAUGAAAGGAAUAAUGUCACUCCUGGGAGUUCCUGCCACUGUCCUGUCUUUAAUAAGUCCACAGGGUGCCCAGGCAGUUUUUGGUGCUUGGGGACACAGCUGCAAACAGGUCACCUUGCUCUGAAACUGCAGGUGCUCACCAUCUAGUGUCUAGCAGGGAAAGACACACCAAGCAGAGGGAUGGCAUGGGUGAGUGCUCUGAGCAGGCCCGAUGUGUUCCUGGGACCUACUGAGAGAUGCCUACGAAGCUGCCUAAACAGGAAAGGCUGAUCCGGCUUGCGGUUUUGUGGACUUAAAGGGAGAAAUAUAAGAGGAGGGGCAAGAGGAGUUGAGGGGGACGAAGGCUGUUUCCUCUCCUCCUUCUCUGCUGGGCUCAUUCCCACGGCCACUGCAGCACCCCAGUAGCUCCAACAGAAGGACCCCUGGAGUCUGUGUGUGUCUGUAGGAAUGGGACCAAAGUGCCAAUUCCUGGCUAUCUGUCCACCAUGCCACCUAGCGAGCUGCCUGCCACCAGAUGCCACCAGAGCGGGACAGGGACACCGGGGAGGGGAUACUUGGCCACAUGUUGCCUAAAGAAGGGGCAGAUUUGUGUUUGUAACAAGCACCUGCAGGUAGUUCUUAUCACAGGAGGGACAUUCGUUGUCUGGUGCCCCUCAUUUCUGCCACCCUUCCCAAGCUGGCCUCAUUCUGUCUCUCUGGAGACUCCCUUUCUGCCACCCUUCCCAAGCCAGCCUCAUUCUCUCUCUCUGUAGACUCCCCUCCUUGGCCCUGCCACCCCUGUGCACUGGCUUCAGGAGACUUCCUGAUUUCAAGCAGCCAACACAGCCCAUUGAGAAUCUGUGUGCCUCCCAGGUCUAAAUUCUUCUGAGAAAGAACUUGAUUUGGAUCGGGGCACAGCUCUGGUCCAAUCAGCUGUGGCCAAGGAGGGGUGAGGUCAUGGUACAACUGUGGCUCCUGGGGCCUCCCUUGUGGGUAUAAGGAAGAGAGUUCUGAGAGGUACCCAUCCAAACUGCUAUCUCCCAUCAAUGCAAGCUUGUGUUCCCCAGGAGACCCCAUUCCACAACUCAGGUUAUGAAUUUCUCUCUCCCUGGUACAUUUCCAGACCUCACAGCACACCCAGCUUCAAAGGAAUCUGUCCGAAAAACUUGUAAUGACAAUAUGAUAUGCUUCUUCAAGAAGUUUCUAGAAUGAGCGCUCUGAGCAGACAGGGGCUGUUGCCUUGUUUGUCCUGUGCACCCCAGCCACUCCUGCCAUGUCCAUUAAGCACAAGGACCUACACGCCAUUGUCGCUCACUGUUAUGGGCUGGAUUCUGUCCCCUCGGAAUUUGUAUGUUGAAGUUCUAACCCACAUCUUCAAAUGUGACUGUAUUUGGAGGUAGGGCCUUUAAACAGAUGAUUAAAGUUAACUAAUUUCAUAAGGUGGGCCCUAAUCCAGUGUGACUGGCAUCCUUGUAAGAAGAGGAAGAGGGAAUAGGGAAGGACACACAGAGAGGGCACGUGAGGACACAGUGGGGAAUGGCUGUCCGCAAGCCCAGGAGAGAGGCCUCUGAAGACAUCAAACCUAGUGACUUCUUAAUCUUAGACUUCCAGCCUCCAAGACUGUGAGAAAACACAUUACUGUUGUUGAAGCCACCUAGUCUGUAGUAUUUUGUUAGGGCAGCCCAGGCAGACUAAUACACUCGCUAAAGGUUUGUUCCUCACUAAAGGGAUGCAAAAAUGGUGGAACUGAGUCCUCCCACCAAGAGUUGGGACCUGUCUACUGACUGCAAAUGGCAGUCUAGGUUAGCUCUUGGUUAAAAAGAGAAACAAGAACCAGUUUAUCAGGAGUCCUGGAGCUUUCACUGGGUGAGGACAGGGGUCUUCUGAAGGCCCCAGUGUCAGGGCAGGACCCCGAUGUGUGUGGAGAAAGUGACCCACUACUCAUAACCAUGGCCGGCAUGCAGGGGAUACCUGAUGGCUUUGCUCUGUAGUCCUGCCCUACACUAAGCUUUUGAGUUACUGUCUACUCUAAACUCUAUUUUCAAAAUUUCUUAGACUCUUUUUAUUGGCAAAAGCAAAGGACUGAAUUUGGCAUUGGAGGUCAGACCGCUCUAGUUUGAAAAGAAAAAGGAAAACACAUCUCCAUGGGUCUUUGACUACACAGAGAUCAAACAAAACCCUACUUUGCUUGGUGAUAUUUAGGAAUGGAGGAGCCAGGCUGCUUCCUGGGGACGAAGCAGCGAUUGUGCAUCGGGAGAGGAGCAGCGUGCCUCCCUCUCACCACCUCGGCAGCUCCGCUGGAAAGAGAUCCUCUCUCUCCACUGACCACCGAUGUCAGCACUCCCGUGGGACAGAUGCUAGGCCGGGUGCAAACCACCCACCAGGCAGAGCAGUGGGAGGGCUGACAGCCAAGCCUGGCCACAUGGGCACCCCUGAAGCCUGGGGUACAGCUGGUUCCCAAAACAUGUAGAGAGAGUGAAAGGAGAGACGGUUCCCUAUGGAAACAGGAGAGGUUUUAACUAGAAGAAAGGGGAGUGGGUAUGGUACAGGCCGCAGCGCCCACGUGCUGCUGAGUUCUGGAGGACACUCCCUGUUGUAUCUGAACCCAGGUUCCGCUGCUUGCAGCUCAAAAGCCAAAACUCAGGAGAUGGGAGUUAGUGGAAAGAAAAGCAGGUUUAUUGGGAGAGCCAGCCAACCGAGAUGAUGAACUAGCCUCCUGAAGUAUUAAUACCAUCUUGAGUUAAGUCCAUACAAAUUUUAGGCUCUUUUUAUGUUCAGGACAGGGGAGGAGGAGGGGAUUGGGGUGGAGAUGUAACAGAUGACCACAGACAUUGGCACCAGUGCGGGUCCAAGGAGAUCGGGAACUGCUUUGUCCUUGGUCAGGUCACGAUGCUCCUAUAAAUCUAUUUUUGAAAACAUAGUCAGUUGUUUACAUACUUUCCCUUUAAUCCCAGAGUUAGUUUUUAAAACUCCAUGAUUGCUGUUUUUGCAUAUUAUCUCAAUGCUCUAAAAUUAUCCCAGCCUCCGCGCAGAAAUGGAUAAAGCCCCUUAAGCAAAAAUGGAGUUGGUUGUGUUCGUUCUUUGCUGCUUCCCUGAUAACAGUCAGUUCCCCAAAUCUCUCUCACAUGGAGCAGCCCCUCCACAACCCCACUGCCUCUGUCUUGGGGCACCCCUUGGUUUCUACAUAAGGGGCCCUCACCCAUCUCACAGUUCCAGUCUCUUCGCACAUCCUUCUCCACCCAGCUGAGGUCUUUGAACAGAGGUGGCAGUUUGGGGACUAGGAUUUGGUGAGACUCAAUCCAGGUAAACAGUACCUUAAGAAGGCUUACGAAUGGACGCUUGGGACCUGUGUUGAUCCUGGUUCUCUCACAAAUUAGCAAGUUACUUAACUUCUCUGUGCCUCUGUUUUGUCAUCUGUGUGUUGGGUACAGUAUCUGUACCAAUCUUAGAGGGUUAUUAUAAAGAGUAAAUGAGGUAGUAUACAUCAAGCACUCAAAAUGUGAGCUGUUAUUAAAAUAUAUCUCGCAUCUGUCCACUUCUCUCUAUCUAUGCUGCCACCACCUCAUCUGAGCCACUGUCACUGGUCCCCUGGGCCAUAUCCCAGACUCUUUGUAGUGUCCUGGCCCUCCUCUGACCUUGCACUGCUCUCCAUUCUCCCAUUCUCCACGCAACAGCCAGGAUGAGACUGCCAGAUGAAAUACAGGACACCCGGUUAAAUGUGAAUUUUGGAUCAACAGUGAAUAUUUUUCAGCAUAGGUAUGUCCCAUGCAAUAUUCAUUAUAUACUUAUGCUAAAAAGUUAUUUAUUUGAAACUCAAAUUUACCUGGGCACCUUGUAUUUUUAUUUGCUAAAUCUUGCAGCCUUAAGCCAGGGAGAAAGCAGAUCGUUUUGCUCCUAGCUUCAAACCUGCAUUGAGUUCUUGGCACAGUUAGGACAGAAUCUGUACCCUGUCCCGACAUGCAGGGCUUAACCUGGCCCAGCCUCUGUGGGCCAUUUUUUUUCCUGUGACUAUUAUUAACAAUUUAGCAGCAUCAGUGGCCAGGCAUUGCCUUGUCAGGUCACACACUGUGCCUGCUCCCCACCAGGGGACUGAUCAAAGAAUAAGAAAAUGAAGCCAGCAAGGACCACAGGGCAGGAGACCGUGGGGCUUUGUGAGGUGCGUCCCAUCCUGGUGUGGAACCCAGACCAGCUUUCCGCUUGCAUGGGAAACUGUAGCAGCUGGACCACCAGCCUGGAGCGAGUGGCAAGGGGGUUGGUCCAGACUCCAUCCUGUGCGGCAGCCAACUGCCCAGAUCUACUUCGACCAGCCCUGUGACCUUGGACAUGACCUUUACCUCUCUGUGCCUCAGUUUCCUCAUCUACAAACUGGGGAUGCUGGCGGUGUCUAACUAGCCUCAGGGCUGUUGUGAGAUAACCAAGUUCGCACCUGGACAUCAGCUGCGGCAGCACCUAGCAGGGAGCAACCGAACCCCAGCCUUUUCAAUUCAUUCUUCAAGGCCAGGCAGGACUGCAGGCGUGGGCCAGGGAGAGGGCGCAAACAGAGCUUGCUCAGCUGAAGGUGGUUCUACUGGAAAUCCAGCUGCCCCAGUUGUGGCCCCCAUGGCCUCAGGGUGGAGCAGCACAUUGAGACGGAGAAGGUGGUCGAGGGCCCAGCCGACAGUUUCCUUCCUCCCCUCGCCUCCCUGGGAGCCUGCAGCCUUCAGCCGUCCCUCCCCGAUCUGUGUUCCUGGCUUGCCUGCUCCGGGUGGAUAUCCUUACAUCAGGGGCAGGGGGCUGGCGGGGAAUUCAAUCGGUCUCUGCUUGGGUCCCUUGACCUUCUCCCAACAGGCUGAGCUUCUCUUCCUGGGGAGCCUAGAAUCCCCUGGCGACUCCUUCCCUUUCUCUUAAAUUGUGGCCACAGCAUGGCGCCCAGUCCAUGGUCAGAAUGCAGAGUCCCAGGCUAGGGACUGAGCUUCUCACCAAGCCAGAUGCACCCCCCACCAGGAAGCACUGCCCCCGCCACUGGAUUGACCUCGUGUGCCAGGUGUCAGUGACCAUCACCAUCACCAUUUUAUAGACGAAGAACCAAAGGAACAGAGAGGUUCGUUAACAUCUCCCAAGACCACACAGCUAGAGGCAGCAAGGCACAGAUUGCAACCUAGGCCAGAGGAUCAAAGGACCACGUAUUUAGCCACCCCAAGCUCACUGUCAUGCAGUCAAAUUAACAGCACUUGCUGGGGGUAGAGGUGGGUGGAUGAUGACAGAGAAGAAAACAAGAGCCGCUAAGUGGGUGGCACUGCUUGGAAGACUGCGGGGUGGACAACCUGUCUGUCUCCAGGAGGAAAAUGGCCAUUUCCUUCCCAGGACGCCCAUUGAGCAGGAACUUUCUGGAGCUGGGUCCUUCAAGAUGGGCCUCCCACUCUCCACGUUCUGCCAUUCGGAGCAGGCAACCUGCUGCGGUUGUAUUAAUUAUGUGAUGGCAAAUGAAAGCCCCCAGCUGACCCACCGGGAUCAUAAAUAACGCUGGCAGAAAAUGGAUUUGGGCCACGUGUCUCAGCAGCAGCUUUUUGUGGCAUGAAGGUUGGAUCUUUUCCAUUCUGGGACUGGUGUUUGCUUAGCUGGGAAACCACUCGUCUUCCUGUUCCAGUUCUCCCCGUAAGCAUUCUUUUCCCCUUUUUAAACAACAAUAGGGGUUACUAUGGAAAUCAGAGUAAUUUUCAUCCCAAUGUAGUCCAGAUAAACUAUCAGGCAUUUGCGGCCACCUUGCCUGCCACCCGUGCUCUGGUCUCAUGACUAGACAAUUUGGGAACGUCUGAGAAACUCACAUUCUCUUGCAUCGAUUUCCUAAGUGGGUCAGAGCUUGGAGUUCUUGGCAAUUAAUGGCUGAGUUAGUGAAGGCAGAGCAUAAAAAUUUCAUGAGCAAAAUACGUCUUCCUUAUUUUGAAACUUUAAAAAGCCCCACUCAGAUAAAUGACCCCUGUUGUACCUGAAGUACUGAGUAAAUUAGGUGUAAUUUUAUUACAAUAUUGAUUGCUGCCACCAGACAUCUCGAUUGUAUUUUUUAGCCUUGAUCAAAGGUGAAAAUGGCAUCUUUUAAUCGAGUUGAAAAAUGCAACUCUGUGGGAAGAUGGAGCUGAGCUGAAGGAGGAAGGUGGAGGGAAGAGAGAAGUCUCAGACCCCCUGUUGGGGAAAAUCCACAACUUUUCAGCAGAAACAGAGAUUGUCAGCAAUGGCUGCCAGUGAAUAAGUAUUCAGUGAAUAAUAGGAAAAGAAUAUAGUAGGCACUCAAUAAAAACCGCACCCCUACUCUGUAAGCAAGAAGCUCUGAAUAUGACAAGAGAGGCUCUUAGAGGUGCUGGAAGUAAUGAAAGUCUCCUUAGGGGCAAGAACUGCAGGAAAACGAAAUGAUUUCUUUUUUUUUUUUUUUUUUUUUUUUUGAGACAGUCUCACUCUGUUGCCUAGGCUGGAGUGCAGUGGCACACUCUCGGCUCACUGCAACCUCCGCCUCCUAGGUUCAAGCGAUUCUCAUGCCUCAGCCUCCCAAGUAGCUGGGACUAUAGGCACGUGCCACCACACCUGGCUAUUUUUUUUUUUUAAGUAGAGACUGGGUUUCCCCAUGCUGGCCAGGCUGGUCUUGAACUCCUGGCUUCAAGUGAUCCACCCACCUCGGCCUCCCAGAGUGCUGGGAUUACAGGCAUGAGCCACUGUGCCAGCCCACAAAAAUCAUUUCUUAUGUCUCAUGUGGCCCUGGCACAGAAGAAGUGCUCAAUGAAUAUUUUUGGAAUAUUAUUGCUGAACUUAUGAGGUAUAGAAAUGACUGUUGGAGAGGGGUGUCUUUCAGGGACCCUUUCUCUGAAGGAAGAGUGACAGCUGCCCAGGUGAGAGCUGAGGUCAGGGCAUGGGGAUGGAAGAAGAAUGUUCUAGGCCAAGGGAAGACCCUGCCGUUCAUCGUGACUGCAAAGCAGACAGGGCCCUCGCGGUGAGAUAACUGGCCCUUGUGACAAUAAAUGUUAGUGUAGCACAUAAGGCUGAGAAGAGACUGCUCACCCCUGCAGGUCCAGCCCCACACAGAGCAGGGGACACAUGCAGUUUGCUAAAGGGGAAAGAAAGAGACAGGAGAAAGAAGAGAGGGGAGGGAGGAAGCAGAGGAGAGGGAGGAGAGGAGCUCCUCUCGCUCUGAAAGUUCCUUCCUCAUCUGUAGACAAUUGCACAGCUAACAUAACCUCUUUUGAUGCAACUUAAAAGGAGGUUACUGUUUGAAGAAUGAUUGAUGACGUCUCCUGUGGUUUACCUUUCCCAAGUGACUAAUUGGGUGCAUUCACCCACAGCACAGAGAGGCACCAUUUGCCCUGAAUGAUUUCAUGAACCAGAGAAGUUGAGGGGCUCGGGUCAAUGGCUGUGGUGCAUGGAAAGCCAUGGUCUUCCCCUACCCCCAACCCCACCCUAAAAAAAUCUCAGCUAGGACAGAUUAAUCACAGGAAUUGACUGGCAGACGGGCUUCGUGUAGGAAGAAAUGCCAGGAGGCUUUGGAUAACAGGGGCUGGUGGAGGGGGGUCUCCCACCUGCAGAGGCCAUGGUAAGUGGGAGGUAUGAUGUGCAAAAUAGACACUUGGCCCAAGCCUCCAUGCCCAAAAAGUCCCAGAGUACACUGGAAAGCUUCUCCACUUGAAGCUUUGCACACAGUCACAGAGCCACCCUGGCAGGACUGGAAGAAGAACAUGUGUAUAGUAUGAACAUCUCUAAACUCCAUCCCACACCAGUAUUUGCUAAGAAUUCAUUUUUUUUUUUGAGUGCUGCAAUUAUCUUGUGGACAGUGCAAAUUAUAUCCAGGGGUGUGCUGGUGAACCAGCUCUCCACAAUCAAGAAAGGGGAGAUCCCCCUUCGUUUGUGUUGUUUGCCAAUUACCAUGGUGUAAAUACUGCCACUAUGGCUGAUUGCAGGCCAUUGAUGGUUUAAGAACUAACACAAAAGUUUCCUAAAUAUUUAAUAAUCGACUCUCAUAAGCCUCUUCAAGCUGGCAUUAUCUCAGUUUGUAUAUAAGUUAUUAUUUAUUAAAUGUGACCAUAUGAAGUAUGCUGCAAUUUUGCAACCGUGCAUUGGUAUUUCUUUAUGGUUUUAAUAUACCAGGAGGCUCAAAAGAUGGAAAGGGUGGUGUAGGGUCUCUUCGUCUCAGAAAUCACAUUUGUAAAAUCCUCUCUGCUCUGCUCUGUUCAAUCUGGUGCCUAAACCUGGAAAGUGAUUUUUCACCAUCUCUACCUUCCUGCCCAUCCUUCCCUCCUUUUACAAACAUUUAUUAGGCCGCUACUCUGCCGCCCCACAUCCUCCAUGAAAAUGUCCCUCAUCCAGUCAGACGUGGUAAAUAUCUCAGUCACUCCUGUCUUCCUUCUCAGCAUUCUAGGUUUUACCCUAGAGACCAACCGCUCAUUCAUUCAAGAAAUGUCAACUAGAAAUUUAUUCUGUACUGGGCACGUGCUAA
rnacentral:lncRNA from 1 species